AAUAGAUACCCGGGUAGUCCACGCCGUAAACGAUGAGUGCUAAGUGUUAGAGGGUUUCCGCCCUUUAGUGCUGCAGCAAACGCAUUAAGCACUCCGCCUGGGGAGUACGGCCGCAAGGCUGAAACUCAAAGGAAUUGACGGGGGCCCGCACAAGCGGUGGAGCAUGUGGUUUAAUUCGAAGCAACGCGAAGAACCUUACCAGGUCUUGACAUCCUCUGCCACUCCUAGAGAUAGGAUUUUCCCCUUCGGGGGACAGAGUGACAGGUGGUGCAUGGUUGUCGUCAGCUCGUGUCGUGAGAUGUUGGGUUAAGUCCCGCAACGAGCGCAACCCUUGAUCUUAGUUGCCAGCAUUCAGUUGGGCACUCUAAGGUGACUGCCGGUGACAAACCGGAGAAGGUGGGGAUGACGUCAAAUCAUCAUGCCCCUUAUGACCUGGGCUACACACGUGCUACAAUGGAUGGUACAAAGGGUCGCGAAACCGCGAGGUCGAGCCAAUCCCACAAAACCAUUCUCAGUUCGGAUUGCAGG
rnacentral:rRNA from 1 species